rnacentral:rRNA from 1 species
UACGUAGGGUGCGAGCGUUAAUCGGAAUUACUGGGCGUAAAGGGUGCGUAGGCGGCGCGGUAAGUCGGGUGUGAAAUCUCGGAGCUUAACUCCGAAACUGCAUUCGAUACUGCCGUGCUUGAGGACUGGAGAGGAGACUGGAAUUUACGGUGUAGCGGUGAAAUGCGUAGAUAUAGGAAGGAACACCAGUGGCGAAGGCGACCACCUGGACUGAUACUGACACUGAGGUGCGAAAGCGUGGGGAGCAAACAGG